rnacentral:rRNA from 1 species
AACGAUCUCUUCGGANAUAGUGGCGCACGGGUGCGUAACGCGUGGGAAUCUGCCCAAGGGUCCAGGAUAACAGUUAGAAAUGACUGCUAAUACUGGAUAAUGUCUUCGGACCAAAGAUUUAUUGCCCUUGGAUGAGCCCGCGUUGGAUUAGCUAGUUGGUGGGGUAAAGGCCUACCAAGGCGACGAUCCAUAGCUGGUCUGAGAGGAUGAUCAGCCACACUGGGACUGAGACACGGCCCAGACUCCUACGGGAGGCAGCAGUGGGGAAUAUUGGACAAUGGGCGAAAGCCUGAUCCAGCAAUGCCGCGUGAGUGAUGAAGGCCUUAGGGUUGUAAAGCUC